GCUGGUUUUGCUCAAUGGUAGAGCAGUCGCUAUAGCGAAUGGGUAGCGAGUUCCAAGUCCGUUAACCAGCACCA
rnacentral:tRNA from 1 species